GAGCAAAAUUUGCUCUCAAAAAGCCAAAUAUGACUCCUUCUCUUCUGAGCAUUGUAGUUCGCCCAUAGUGCACUUCAUGUCAACUUAUGGGGUACCUCCAUACUCAGAAGAGAUGGGGUUACAAAUUUUGGGGGCUAUUUUCUGCUAUUAACCCUUGCAAAAAUGUGAAAUUUUGUCUACAAGAACAUGCGAGUGUAAAAAAUGGAAAUUGUGAAUUUUCUCCUUCACUUUGCUGCUAAUCCUGUGAAACACCUAAAGGGUUAAAAUGCUGACUGAAUGUCAUUUUGAAUAUUUUGGGGGGUGCAGUUUUUAUAAUGGGGUCAUUUGUGGGGUAUUUCUAAGAUGAAGACCCUUCAAAUCCACUUCAAACCUGAACUGGUCCCCGAAAAAUUGUAAUUUUGGAAAUUUUGUGAAAAAUUUGAAAAUUGCUGCUGAACUUUGAAGCCCUCUGGUGUCUUCCAAAAGUAAAAACUCGUCAAUUUUAUGAUGCAAACAUAAAGUAGACAUAUUGUAUAUGUGAAUAAAAUAAAAUAAUAUUUGGAAUAUCCAUUUUCCUUACAAGCAGAGAGCUUCAAAGUUAGAAAAAUGCAAAAUUCUCAAAAAGUGAGAAGCUUAGAUGAGCUUAGUUUUAAAGUGCAUGGAAUUGAUUAUGUAAUUCGAGAUGUACAUUGGAGAUCUGAACUCUCCUGUUAUUUGGUGGCCGAAAAUGGGAUAAGGGUCUCUGCACAGGUGAGAAGAAAACAUGCCCAAAACUUGCUGUUGCCAUCUAUUUUUGCAAGAGAUCUCCAAAAGACAAACGAAGAAUGCCAGAUACAAGCAACCCAAUGUGCCAGGAGAGCAAAGACAACCAUCAGGAGGCUGAGAACAACGGCGCUGUACUGAGAAUAGCGGUCCAGUCUUGGGAGGAGACGCAGCAGCCGUAAUAGACGAACAGUCUUCAGGAGCUAUAGAGCAGAUCCACGGGGAGAGCAGCUAAAAGAUCCAACAAGAACCACGUCCUGAUAUAAUGGAGGAAGAUUAGACGUGAAGAAAAUACAACCUGUCCGGACUGACUGACAAAUGUUGUUCGAAAAUUCAAGAUGAUAUCUAUUGAACGAUAGAAUAAAAUAUAACCUACCUAAAAUGAACAGAACUUCCACUGCCAGAUCACAAGCACUUGGUGGGCUCCUUGGACUUUGAGUACCGUCCUCUUUUCCAGUACUGAAGCAGAAACUGUAUGGUACAGUCACUGCUACAUAGAGGGUC